UAAGGAAUAUUGGUCAAUGGACGAAAGUCUGAACCAGCCAUCCCGCGUGCAGGAUGAAUGCCCUAUGGGUUGUAAACUGCUUUUGGCAGAGACGAAACGCCUUCAUUUAUGGGGGUCUGACGGUAUCUGCAGAAUAAGCACCGGCUAACUCCGUGCCAGCAGCCGCGGUAAUACGGAGGGUGCAAGCGUUAUCCGGAAUCACUGGGUUUAAAGGGUGCGUAGGCGGGGAAUUAAGUCAGUGGUGAAAGCCUGUCGCUUAACGAUAGAAUUGCCAUUGAUACUGAUUUUCUUGAAUUGGGUUGAGGUUAGCGGAAUGUGACAUGUAGCGGUGAAAUGCAUAGAUAUGUCAUGGAACACCAAUUGCGAAGGCAGCUAGCUGGGCCUUGAUUGACGCUGAGGCACGAAAGCGUGGGUAGCGAACAGG
rnacentral:rRNA from 1 species